GACGAACGCUGGCGGCGUGCUUAACACAUGCAAGUCGAACGAGAAGAGAUGAGAAGCUUGCUUCUUAUCAAUUCGAGUGGCAAACGGGUGAGUAACGCGUAAGCAACCUGCCCUUCAGAUGGGGACAACAGCUGGAAACGGCUGCUAAUACCGAAUACGUUCUUUUGUCGCAUGGCAGAGGGAAGAAAGGGAGGCUCUUCGGAGCUUUCGCUGAAGGAGGGGCUUGCGUCUGAUUAGCUAGUUGGAGGGGUAACGGCCCACCAAGGCGACGAUCAGUAGCCGGUCUGAGAGGAUGAACGGCCACAUUGGGACUGAGACACGGCCCAG
rnacentral:rRNA from 1 species